rnacentral:lncRNA from 1 species
CUUUCUUCUUUGUGGCCCAAAUUGAAGAGGACACUGGAUUCCUCUGAUGGAGUUCUGCUCCCUAGAGCUGAUGCUGCAGAUGCUGCUCUCAGGGUCCUUGGGCUUGCCCCCAGCCAAUGGGAAAGAGAGGUCAAGACUGUGCUCAGCUUGGUGGACCUGAGACAUCGAGGAUCCUUCUGAAAGGAUGGCCUGAGGCUUGGAGCGUCAGAGGAAGUCUGGGGCCAACUCUGCCUCUCUGAGCUUCAGUUUUCUCUUCUCUGCAACAAGAGCAUUGGGCUGUAUAAUCCCUAGAAGGAGACCCUUCUGCUCAGUAAGCUCAGUUUAGCUCUGUGUGUGUGCGUGUGUCUGUGUGCAUGUGUGUGUCUGUGUGUGUGUGUGUGCAUGUGUGUGUCCUUUGAGGUCCCUGAGCACUCAAAUGUAGCUAAUUCAGACUCCAUUGAUUCUGAACGUAUAAUUUUUUUGACUUGGACUAGGCUGGAAGCUACUUUUGCAUAAUUCACACACAAAAAAACUUGAUACGCUCAUGAAUAGUGUUGCUGUGAUGAUGGAAGAAUCAUUUCCAUGACACCGGGCUGCCUCUCAUCAAAUGCCUUUCAGAUUCAAGCAACAAAGAUGGAGCUCCCUCUUCCUGCCAGGCACCCCCCCGGCCCUACAACCCCU